rnacentral:misc_RNA from 1 species
UUUCCGUAGGUGAACCUGCGGAAGGAUCAUUAAAGAGAAUAUGCCCUUCGGGGUAGAUCUCCCACCCUUUGUUUAUAUUACCUUUGUUGCUUUGGCAGGCCCGUCUUCGGACCACCGGCUUCGGCUGGUCAGUGCUUGCCAGAGGACCCAAAACUCUUAUUAUUAAUGUCGUCUGAGUACUAUAUAAUAGUUAAGACUUUCAACAACGGAUCUCUUGGUUCUG